rnacentral:misc_RNA from 1 species
UUUCCGUAGAUGAACCUGCGGAAGGAUCAUUACUGAGUGAGGGCCCCUCGGGGUCCAACCUCCCACCCGUGUUUAACGAACCUUGUUGCUUCGGCGGGCCCGCCUCACGGCCGCCGGGGGGCAUCUGCCCCCGGGCCCGCGCCCGCCGAAGCCACCUGUGAACGCUGUCUGAAGUAUGCAGUCUGAGACAAUUAUUAAAUUAAUUAAAACUUUCAACAACGGAUCUCUUGGUUCCG